AAUGCCGAUGAUGACUCCAUAGACCUGUAACGAUUGCGGAGAUGACUGCACAUAUAACAUCUAAGGGGCUGAGGCAUU